rnacentral:snRNA from 1 species
GUGCUCGCUUUGGCAGCACAUAUACUAAAAUUGGAACGAUACAGAGAUUAGCAUGGCCCCUGCACAAGGAUGACACACAAAUUCGUGAAGCAUUCCAUAUAAAA